CGCCUCAUAACAUUGAGAUACUCUUGAGCGCAGUGUGCGCUGGAUUGUAUGCGAAAGAGAAAGUCAAAAGUGUAAAAUACUGUGAAAAUGGUGGACAAACUAGUAAACUCGGAGGCAAACGCCCGCCGAAUACAGAUGGUGGAAAACUGCUUCGGCAGCUCGGGCCAGCCACUGUACGUUCCGGGACGUGUCCUGGUCGGCGAGGGCGUCCUCACAAAGAUGUGCCGCAAGCGCCCAAAGGCCCGGCAGUUCUUCCUGUUCAACGACAUCCUCGUGUACGGCAACAUCGUAAUCGGCAAGAAAAAGUACAACAAACAACACUUGAUACCACUGGAGGAGGUACAGCUGCAAACCCUGGAGGACAACGGACAAUAUCGAAACGGUUGGCUGAUACGAACCGCAACCAAGUCGUUUGCCGUUUAUGCGGCAACACAAACCGAAAAGCAAGAGUGGAUGGCCCAUAUAAACAAAUGCAUCGAGGAUUUGCUACGAAAAAGUGGCAAAAAGCCCGUCGAGACUCAUGCCGCUGUCUGGGUUCCGGACAGUGAGGCCAACAUUUGCAUGCACUGCAAGAAAACGCAAUUUACCAUGUUGAUUCGAAGGCAUCACUGUCGAAACUGUGGCGCGGUCGUGUGCGGACCGUGCUCGUCGAAGAAGUUUGUCCUAGCUGGACAGAGCACGAAGCCGUUGCGCGUAUGUCUGGACUGUUACGAUAGCCUGAGCUCGAUGAAGCGGGAAGAGAGCAAAGGCAUUUCGGCCAACAACAACAAACCAGUCACGUCGCCAGAGAGUUCCGGUGAUGAUGACUCGGACGAUGAGGAGGAAUCUAAGGAUACACAUGAUCAGAGCUUUAGAAGUCACUGCACGCCACCGACGACGGUCGUGUGUGUAUGAUAGAAGGAGAAGGAGAAGCGGAGGAGUGACCAGGUGACAGGAAUAGGCGGUAAAAGUAGUGCGGGGAGAGUGACCAACAAACCUCUUCGCUUCAUGCAUCGAAUUUUGCAAACAUGAAGUGUAACACGAAAUAGGCUUAACGGUGAUAGUGGUUUUAUUCCUUUUUCGCUCAGACGUAAUGUCGUUAUUUUUUGCAAGAGGAUCCCGCAGAGAAGAAGAAAAAAAUUGACCAAUAACCCAAGUUUUACGGAGAUGAGAAACCUGAAAAGUAGCCCCAACAAAGCGGAAGCAACCCUCCCACAAAAAAGCCAGAUUUGUGCAAAAGUCUCACCAAUAACAAAAACAACAACAAUCGUGCACGGAAUGCAGAAACUUUCCACAGAAAACAUUUCAAAAGAGGCGAAACUUGUCUAAGCUUGCGUUUGGCACACUUUCUGUCGUUGAUUUAAUAUUUUAUUUUCUAUGAGUGUUCGCAUUUAGCAAAAUACAAGCAAAUGAAACCAACAACCUCCUUUUGAAAUGUUGUUUUGCAAUUAUUAUUUUAGCCUACAGACAGUGUACGUAGAAACGAGUAUUUUAUCUGUUUAGAGUUAGUAGCCCGCAAAUUCCUCCUUGAUCAGCGUGGAUUUAAUUGAUGUCCUUCUUCAAACUAUAAAACAACCUACUUUCCACUCAUUGAAAAAUGAACAUUCGGUAUUGGUUACGGUUUUUAAGGAAAAAUUACGCCUCAACGAUUACGAAAGAGCAAAUUUUGGCUACCUCCGUCAAACUUAAUUCAACCGCUUGAAAAUAUAAAGUCUAGUUAUCAUUAUAUUAAA
rnacentral:misc_RNA from 1 species